GCCCGGCGGCCCGCGGUAGCGCUCGCGGCCUCUCACCCGGGGCGGGUGAGUUCUGGGAAAGCCCGGCCCAGGGCGGGGGCUCCGCUGCCGCCCGCGCCGCCGUCCGGGCAGCUUGCAGAGCUCUGCGGGCGCGGAGCGAGGGAGCGGCGCCGGGCGGGGGCGCACACGACGACGCGGGGCCGGGUGGGCGCGGCGGCGGCGGCGGCGGCGGCGGCGGCGGCGGCGGCGGGCGGCGCGCCCCGGGCUCUGUCUCCCGGGCACUUGCCCGGCUCUGCGCGCUCCUGUCGUCCGCUCCGCUGCUGACACACGGUAGCGAGGACACCCGACGCCGCUAGCGACAGGCGCAUCCCAGAGGGACGCUGCACUUGGGGACUCCGGCGCGACCGGCUAGAAGAGGAAAGGCUCAGCCACUUGCUGUGUUCAACCUUGCCAGGAUCCUCUCUGCCUUAAGCUGGAGGAGCUGGAAGUAGUGUGGAGAAAGGGAAAAGCCAAGCCAGACCGGCCCUCUGGGCUGCUGGACCAAUGAGCAAGUUCAUCUCUACCAGGCCUCCAAGGGCGUGUGUCUGAAACAGCUUUGAUCUGCUGCCUGUGGGAGAGUGGCCGCCACCCACCUUUCCAGGAUACAUUCGAACUGGAUUUUUAAAUCAUUGUAAGCCAGUGAUGAAUCAGAGGUUACAGAAUGCAAUGUCGAAUAAAAGUCUUCGAAAGAAUUGCUUCAAAUGACCAAAGAAAGAAACUUGAUCUACCACCUUAAAACCUUGAUCUAGAAGAGCAUACUGCACAUGGUAGGAAGUGAUAACUGGGGAAAUUUAUUUGGCUCUUAAUGCACCUAAAUGAAGGAAUUGUCACUUUGUUCCUCAGAGGGCUUGUACACCUUAGAUUAUUUUAAUAACCCAUAGUUUUAUUAACAUUUUGACAUGAUCACAAACGAGGAGAAACAGCAAUAGCUAAAGCCUGCUCAUUGGUCAAGAUGACUUCUGAAGAAAUGGCAGCUUCUGUUCUCAGACCUGUGACUCAGCGAAAAGUGAUAUCUGCUCAGUCGGCUGUAGAUGAAAGUAAUGAUAAGGUCUCGGACAUCAAUGUUCCAAAGGCGCAUCCUGUCAGGCAGAGCGGGGAGACUUCUCAUACCAUCUCACAACUAACGAAACUUACAGAAGAAUCUUCUGGAAGCAACUUGCCCCAGAUUCUCUCAGUAGCAAGGGAGAAAAUAACGAGUGAUGAGAACAGUAAUGAAAAGUGCUGGGAGAAAAGCAUACCAGACUCUGUGAAAAACCUUAACAUUAACUGCAACAACAUACUGAAAAACCAUCAGCGUUGCCUUCCUCAGAGCCAGUUUUAUGAAACGUGCGAUUCUACCACAGAGGAAAGCCUGUGUUUGGAAACUGGAAUCCCGUCUUCACUGGAAAGAAAGGUGUUCCCUGGAAUUCAACUGGAAAUAGACAGACCUCCCGUGGGCAUUAGUCCAUUAGGAACUCAAUCAGCCAUCAUAGAGACGGGCAGGGCACACCCUGACAGCAACAUGGCGGUAUUUCACUUUCAGUAUGAAGUGGACAGAAGAAUGUCAGACACUUUCUGUCCCCUAUCAGAUAACUUGAUUUUGGAUGAUUGUGGAAACUGUGUACUACCUGCUGUUGGUGGGGAACAAAAGAACAAUUACAUGGCGUAUACUUGUAAACUGAUGGAAUUGGCAAGUAACUGUGACAAUAAGAAUAGGCAGCUGCAGUAUGAUCAUUGUGACCCCUUGAAUGACAAAUACUUGUGCUUUGAAGGCUCUUGCCCGAAGGCCGAUGUAGUAUGCUCAAGUGACACCUUUUGCGGGGAGGAUUUUACUGACAGCCCAUCUGCCAAGACCUUUCUGAGCCAUUUUGAGGACUUCCCUGAUAAUUGUGAAGAUGUAGAAGAAGAUUUAUUCAAAAGCAAGAAGGAGCGGUCCACUUGGUUAGUGAGGAGAUUUUGUAAAAAUGACAGGGAAGUAAAGAAAUCUGUAUAUACUGGGACAAGGGCAAUUGUGAGAACUCUGCCUUCUGGUCACAUUGGGCUGGGGGCUUGGAGUUACGUUGAUCGGAAGAGAACUGGUCUCUUACUGCCUUGUGGGAGAGUCAUGGAACGGCUGUCAACAGUGGUGACUAGGCAAGAUGGGAGCCAGUGUCUGUCCGAAGCCCAGUGGUAUCCGAUCUACAGUGCAGUGAGAAGGGGAGAAGAAACAGAAGAGACAAUUAGAUCUCUUCUCCAUUUCUUCACAAAGCUCCCAGCCUCCGAGACAGCCCAUGAAAGGAUUAGCAUUGGUCCGUGCUUAAAGCAAUGUGUCCAAGACACUGUUUGUGAGUAUCGUGCCACCCUCCAAAGGACUUCCAUAUCUCAGUACAUCACCGGCUCUCUCCUAGAAGCCACCACAUCUUUAGGAGCAAGAAGUAACCUUCUCAAUUCUUUUGGAGGAUCCACCGGACGAAUGAUGCUGAAAGAACGCCAGCCAGGCACCUCUAUGGCCAAUCCCAGUGCCCUCCCUUCAAGUUCAGCUGGGAUCAGCAAGGAGCUGAUUGAUCUGCAGCCCCUCAUGCAGUUCCCAGAGGAAGUUGCCAGCAUCCUGAUGGAACAGGAGCAGAAUAUUUACCGAAGGGUCUUGCCAGUUGACUAUCUUUGCUUCUUGACCCGGGACUUGGGCACCACGGAAUGCCAGAGGUCCCUGCCCUGCCUCAAAGCGUCCAUCUCAGCAUCCAUUCUUACCUCCCAGAACGGAGAGCAUAAUGCCCUUGAAGAUCUUGUGAUGAGGUUUAAUGAGGUGAGCUCCUGGGUGACGUGGCUGAUCCUCACGGCGGGCUCCAUGGAGGAGAAGCGGGAAGUCUUCUCGUAUUUGGUGCACGUGGCCAAAUGCUGCUGGAACAUGGGCAACUACAACGCCGUCAUGGAGUUCUUGGCCGGCCUCAGGUCAAGAAAAGUUUUAAAAAUGUGGCAGUUUAUGGACCAGUCAGACCUGGAGACAAUGAGGAGCCUGAAGGACGCCAUGGCCCAGCAUGAAUCUUCCUGCGAGUACAGGAAGGUGGUGACUCGGGCGCUGCACAUCCCCGGCUGUAAGGUGGUUCCGUUCUGCGGGGUGUUUCUGAAGGAGCUCUGUGAGGUGCUUGACGGAGCCUCCGGCCUCAUGAAGCUUUGCCCGAGGUACAAUUCCCAAGAAGAAACUCUAGAGUUUGUAGCCGAUUACAGUGGACAAGAUAAUUUCUUACAACGAGUGGGACAGAAUGGCUUAAAGAAUUCAGAGAAGGAGUCCACCGUCAACAGCAUCUUUCAGAUCAUCAGGAGCUGCAGUCGAAAUCUGGAGACAGAGGAGGAGGACAGCUCCAGUGAAGGGAACAGCUCUAGGAAAAAUUCCUUGAAGGAUAAAGCCCGAUGGCAGUUUAUAAUUGGAGAUCUGUUGGAUUCUGAAAAUGACAUCUUUGAGCAGCCCCAAGAAUGGGACCCUCACGCAUCAGAAGAGCCACAGAAGGCCUUUGACCAUGGGACAGAGCUCAUCCCGUGGUACGUGCUGUCCAUCCAAGCUGAUGUGCACCAGUUCCUGCUGCAGGGGGCCACGGUCAUCCACUAUGACCAGGACAUGCACCUCUCUGCCCGCUGCUUCCUCCAGCUUCAGCCUGACAAUAGCACCUUGACCUGGAUAAAACCCACCACUGCUUCCCCAGCCAGUGCUAAAGCAAAACUUGGUGUGCUUAGUAACACAUCCGAGCCUGGCAAAUUCCCAUUACUGGGCAAUGCUGGAUUAAGUGGCCUGGCAGAGGGGGUCUUGGAUCUGUUUUCAGCAAAGGCUGUGUACAUGGGACACCCUAGCAUUGAUAUACACACUGUGUGUGUCCAGAACAAACUGAGUAACAUGUCUCUCUCAGAGACUGGAGUGACACUGCUCUACGGGCUUCAGACCACGGACAAUAGGUUAUUGCACUUUGUGGCACCAAAGCACACAGCUAAAAUGCUCUUCAGUGGAUUGUUGGAACUCACUAGAGCUGUGAGAAAGAUGAGGAAGUUCCCUGACCAAAGACAGCAGUGGCUGCGGAAACAAUACGUCAGCCUUUACCAGGAGGAUGGACGAUAUGAAGGCCCAACUUUGGCUCACGCUGUGGAGUUGUUUGGCGGCAGACGAUGGAGUACUCGAAACCCCAGUCCUGGGACAUCAGCAAAGAGUGCUGAGAAGCCCAACGUGCAGAGAAACAACACCUUGGGUAUAAGCACCACCAAGAAAAAGAAGAAAAUCCUUAUGAGGGGUGAGAGUGGAGAGGCCACCGACGACGAGAUGGCCACCCGCAAAGCCAAAACACACAAAGAGUGUCGGAGUCGGAGUGGUUCUGAUCCUCAAGACGUUAAUGAACAAGAAGAAUCAGAGGCGAACGCCAUCACAAGCCCUCCUAACCCUCUCCCUUCCAGAAGAGCCCACUCUUUGACCACGGCUGGGUCCCCUAACUUGGCUGCCGGGACGUCAUCUCCCAUCAGGCCAGUGUCCUCCCCUGUGCUGUCUUCUUCAAACAAGAGCCCGUCCAGUGCUUGGAGCAGCAGCAGCUGGCAUGGGCGCAUCAAAGGAGGAAUGAAGGGCUUUCAGAGCUUCAUGGUUUCAGACAGCAGCAUGAGUUUUGUGGAGUUUGUUGAACUGUUCAAAUCAUUCAGUGUGAGGAGCCGCAAGGACCUGAAGGAUCUCUUUGACAUCUACGCCGUACCCUGCGACCGAGCCGGCUCCGAGGCGGCCCCCCUCUACACCAACCUGACCAUUGAUGAAAACACCAGCGGUCUUCAGCCUGACCUAGAUUUGCUGACCAGAAAUGUCUCCGAUUUGGGGUUAUUCAUUAAGAGUAAACAGCAGCUGUCCGACAACCAGAGGCAGAUAUCUGAUGCCAUUGCUGCUGCAAGUAUCGUGACAAAUGGCACUGGGGUGGAGAGCACAUCCCUGGGCGUAUUUGGAGUUGGCAUCCUCCAGCUCAAUGACUUCCUAGUGAAUUGCCAAGGAGAACACUACACUUACGAUGAAAUCCUCAGCAUCAUCCAGAAGUUCGAGCCUAGUAUCAGUAUGUGUCAUCAAGGCCUAAUGUCGUUUGAAGGAUUUGCAAGGUUUCUGAUGGAUAAAGAUAAUUUUGCCUCAAAAAAUGAUGAGUCGCAGGAGAACAUUAAAGAAUUGCAAUUGCCCCUCUCCUACUACUACAUUGAAUCUUCACACAAUACCUACCUCACAGGCCAUCAACUCAAAGGAGAAUCCUCAGUAGAACUCUACAGCCAGGUCCUCCUGCAAGGCUGUAGGAGUGUAGAGUUGGACUGCUGGGACGGAGAUGAUGGGAUGCCCAUCAUUUAUCAUGGACACACCCUGACAACCAAGAUCCCCUUCAAGGAAGUGGUUGAAGCCAUCGAUCGCAGUGCCUUUAUCAACUCCAACCUCCCCAUCAUCAUAUCGAUUGAGAACCACUGUUCAUUGCCUCAGCAACGAAAAAUGGCAGAAAUUUUCAAGACUGUGUUUGGAGAAAAACUGGUGGCUAAAUUCUUAUUUGAGAGUGAUUUCUCAGAUGAUCCAAUGCUUCCCUCACCUGACCAACUCAGGAGGAAAGUGCUUCUCAAAAAUAAGAAGUUAAAAGCCCAUCAGACACCGGUGGAUAUAUUAAAGCAAAAGGCUCAUCAGCUAGCGUCCAUGCAAGCUCAGGCUUAUAAUGGUGGCAGUGCCAACCCUCCACCUGCUAAUAACGAAGAAGAGGAAGAUGAAGAGGACGAAUAUGAUUAUGACUAUGAAUCCCUCUCUGACGACAACAUUCUAGAAGACAGACCUGAAAAUAAAUCAUGUAAUGACAAACUUCAGUUUGAGUAUAAUGAAGAAAUCCCCAAGAGGAUAAAGAAAGCAGAUAACUCUGCUUGCAACAAAGGAAAGGUUUAUGACAUGGAACUGGGAGAAGAAUUUUAUCUUCCUCAGAAUAAAAAGGAAAGCAGACAGAUUGCACCAGAGCUUUCUGACCUUGUCAUCUAUUGCCAAGCAGUAAAGUUUCCAGGCCUGUCAACUCUAAAUGCAUCUGGCUCUAGCAGAGGAAAAGAAAGGAAAAGCAGGAAGUCCAUUUUUGGCAACAAUCCGGGCAGAAUGAGCCCCGGGGAGACAGCAUCAUUUAACAAAACAUCUGGAAAAAAUUCCUGUGAAGGAAUGCGACAGGCCUGGGAGGACUCGCCUUCCUCUGUCAACCCAACCACGUCCCUCAGCGCGAUCAUUAGAACUCCCAAAUGCUACCACAUCUCCUCGCUGAAUGAAAAUGCCGCCAAACGUCUGUGUCGCAGGUAUUCUCAGAAACUGAUCCAGCACACUGCCUGCCAGCUGCUGAGGACGUAUCCGGCUGCCACCCGCAUCGACUCAUCCAACCCCAGCCCCCUCCUCUUCUGGCUCCAUGGGAUACAGCUCGUGGCGCUCAACUACCAGACAGAUGAUCUCCCUUUACAUUUAAACGCUGCCAUGUUUGAGGCCAACGGUGGCUGUGGUUAUGUUCUGAAACCCCCAGUUCUGUGGGACAAGAACUGUCCCAUGUAUCAGAAGUUUUCUCCCUUGGAAAGAGACCUGGACAACAUGGAGUCUGCCGUCUAUUCUUUAACUAUUGUCUCUGGGCAGAACGUGUGCCCGAGUAACAGCACGGGAAGCCCGUGUAUAGAGGUCGACGUCCUGGGCAUGGCCCUGGAUAGCUGCCACUUCCGCACGAAGCCCAUCCACCGCAAUACUCUGAACCCCAUGUGGAAUGAACAGUUCCUCUUCCGGGUUCACUUUGAAGAUCUCCUAUUUCUUCGUUUUGCUGUCGUGGAGAACAACAGCUCGGUGGUAACUGCUCAGAGAAUCAUCCCCCUCAAGGCUCUAAAGCGAGGAUAUCGACAUCUUCAGCUGCGAAACCUCCACAAUGAAGUCUUGGAAAUCUCUAGUUUAUUCAUAAACAGCAGGAGGAUGGAAGAAAAUUCCUCUGGCAAUACUAUGCCGGCCUCUUUGAUGUUUAAUACAGAAGAAAGAAAAUGUUUGCAGAUUCACAGAGUCACAGUACAUGGGGUCCCAGGUCCAGAGCCCUUUGCUGUUUUCUCCAUAAAUGGAGGCACCAAGGCAAAGCAGCUUCUCCAACAAAGUCUGACCAUUGAUCAAGACACCAAACCUAUUGCCACAGACUAUUUUUUAAUGGAAGAAAAAUAUUUUAUAUCUAAAGAAAAGAAUGAAUGUAGGAAACAACCGUUCCAGAGAGCCAUUGGUCCAGAAGAAGAGAUCAUGCAGAUUUUAAGCAGCUGGUUUCCAGAAGAGGGAUAUGUUGGCAGGAUUGUCUUAAAAACCCAGCAGGAAAACCUGGAAGAGAAGAGCAUCGUUCAAGAUGACAAGGAGAUGAUCUUGAGCUCAGAGGAGGAGAGUUUCUUUGUCCAAGUGCAUGACGUUUCUCCAGAGCAACCGCGAACGGUCAUCAAGGCGCCCCGCAUCAGCACCGCACAGGACGUCAUUCAGCAGACCUUAUGCAAAGCCAAAUAUUCCUAUAGCAUCUUGAGCAACCCCAACCCGGGUGAUUAUGUGCUUUUGGAAGAGGUGGUGAAAGACACUGCCAACAGGAAGUCUUCUACCCCAAAGUCCUCCCAGCGUGUCCUUUUGGAUCAGGAGUGUGUUUUUCAAGCUCAAAGCAGGUGGAAAGGUGCAGGAAAAUUCAUCCUUAAGCUAAAGGAACAAGUGCAGGCAUCCCGAGAAGACAAAAGAAAAGGCAUCUCUUUUGCAAGCGAACUCAAGAAGCUCACCAAGUCGACUAAACAGCCCCGAGGACUCACGUCGUCUUCUCAGGUCUUGGCCUCAGAAAAUGUCCAAAACAAGGAGGAGAAACCUGUGGGCAGCAUGUCCUCCAGUGACACGAUAGACUAUCGACAGUGAGCAAGGGUAGCACGUUUUACCCAGAUAACUAAAGGCCCCAAGAGGACAACAAACUUGCCCAAACUACAACAGCCUUAUUUCAUCAGACACAGAACUGUCUUAAUUACUGGUGAAGAUCUUUGGGCAAGAAGUUAUAAAGUCAAGAAUGAACAUGAUGGAAACAAAUAUAACUUCCUUAUUUUCAUUAGACUUAAACUGGAAAUUGAUGAUUUCUGAACUUGCGAUAUGAGGUCCACACUGAGGUCAAGCAAAAUGGCACAGGGCUACUAACCAGUUUCCUGAUGAAGCAAAGAAGCCCAGCAGAUGCCAUUUUACACGUGUCAACAGUUGGAAAAACCAUUGCUAACCUUGCAAUAAGGGUCAACAAACUUUGUAAAGGGCUAGACAGUAAAUAUUUUAGGCCUUAUGGGCCAUAUGGUCUCCACUGCAAUGACUCAACUCAGCUGUAGUGCAAAAGCAGCCAUAGACAAUACGUACGUGAAUGAAUGUGGCUGUGAUCCAAGAAAACUAUAUAAAGACACCGAAAUUGUAAUUUCAUAUAAUUUUCCCAUGUAAUAAAUAUUCCUCUUUUGAUUUUUAAAAAUCAUUUAAAAAUGUAAAAACUAUUCUUAGUUCAAGAGUCACACGAAACCAGGUGGCAGGCUGGAUUUGGCCCAAGGGGCAUAGUUUGCUGACCUGACUUAGAAAACUGGGAACAAGAUGCACAGAGGUAUGAAAACAAGCAGGCUAGUUUAGUCAUACAUUUUAUGGCUGAGAAUUGGAAGAUUUUGGGCAUUGCAAGUGUAAAUAUGUCCUAUAAGAUUCAUUAAAAAGUAAUUCAAUUUAGUUUCUAUAUUGUGUACCAUUGUGAAUUCUGUAGUACUUCUUUUUAGCUACAGAAUGAUGUUGGGUUUUUUUACGUUUAUUGCUUAUAUAUUCACAGACUUUUGGUUUCCAUAAAAUGAAUUUAGAAUAACGUAUAAUAUCUACUGAGUUGUGACAUCUUAACAAGAAACUUAACCAUGUUUUUAAAGCAAAAGUAGAUUGAGUUGGUGUUUAUUUAUUUUACUAGGUUUGUACUGACAUUGUACCUAUAUAUUUAUUAUACAUAGCUUUCUUGAUAUUGCUUGCAGAUUAGAAGCAUUAGUGGUUCUAUCUCACUAUUUGAAAACAAAUCUCCUAAAAAGAAAAUGUAUGCUCUGACUAUCUGAAAUAGGCCAGAAUUCAUGUAACUUGCCAUUUAAUGUAAAUUAUUUUAAAAACCUUGCUGUAUAAAACUAUCAUGUACGUGUAAA